rnacentral:rRNA from 1 species
UAUCUUCGGAUAGAGAGACCGGCGCACGGGUGCGUAACGCGUAUGCAAUCUACCUUUUACAGAGGGAUAGCCCAGAGAAAUUUGGAUUAAUACCUCAUAGUAUGCAGAGUUGGCAUCAACCCUGCAUUAAAGUCACAACGGUAAAAGAUGAGCAUGCGUCCCAUUAGCUAGUUGGUAAGGUAACGGCUUACCAAGGCUACGAUGGGUAGGGGUCCUGAGAGGGAGAUCCCCCACACUGGUACUGAGACACGGACCAGACUCCUACGGGAGGCAGCAGUGAGGAAUAUUGGACAAUGGGCGCAAGCCUGAUCCAGCCAUGCCGCGUGCAGGAUGACGGUCCUAUGGAUUGUAAACUGCUUUUGCACAGGAAGAAACAACUCUACGUGUGGAGUCUUGACGGUACUGUGAGAAUAAGGAUCGGCUAACUCCGUGCCAGCAGCCGCGGUAAUACGGAGGAUCCAAGCGUUAUCCGGAAUCAUUGGGUUUAAAGGGUCCGUAGGCGGUUUAGUAAGUCAGUGGUGAAAGCCCAUCGCUCAACGGUGGAACGGCCAUUGAUACUGCUAGACUUGAAUUAUUAGGAAGUAACUAGAAUAUGUAGUGUAGCGGUGAAAUGCUUAGAGAUUACAUGGAAUACCAAUUGCGAAGGCAGGUUACUACUAAUGGAUUGACGCUGAUGGACGAAAGCGUGGGUAGCGAACAGGAUUAGAUACCCUGGUAGUCCACGCCGUANACGAUGGAUACUAGCUGUUGGGAGCGAUCUCAGUGGCUAAGCGAAAGUGAUAAGUAUCCCACCUGGGGAGUACGUUUCGCAGAAAUGAACUCAAAGGAAUUGACGGGGGCCCGCACAAGCG